GAGUUCCUAUGGGAGGCAGCAGUGGGGAAUAUUGGGCAAUGGGCGCAAGCCUGACCCAGCAACGCCGCGUGAAGGAAGAAGGCUUUCGGGUUGUAAACUUCUUUUCUCAGGGACGAAGCAAGUGACGGUACCUGAGGAAUAAGCCACGGCUAACUACGUGCCAGCAGCCGCGGUAAUACGUAGGUGGCAAGCGUUAUCCGGAUUUACUGGGUGUAAAGGGCGUGUAGGCGGGAAAGCAAGUCAGAUGUGAAAACCAAGGGCUCAACCUGUGGCCUGCAUUUGAAACUGGUUUUCUUG
rnacentral:rRNA from 1 species